ACUACGGGGUGCAGCAGUGGGGAAUAUUGCACAAUGGGCGCAAGCCUGAUGCAGCGACGCCGCGUGCGGGAUGGAGGCCUGCGGGUUGUAAACCGCUUUUGUUCAAGGGCAAGGCACGGUCUUUGGCCGUGUUGAGUGGAUUGUUCGAAUAAGAACCGACUAACUACGUGCCAGCAGCCGCGGUAAUACGUAGGGUGCAAGCGUUAUCCGGAUUUAUUGGGCGGAAAGGGCGCGUAGGCGGUUCGUCGCGGCCGGUGUGGAAGUCCAUCGCUUAACGGUGGAUCCGUGCCGGGUACGGGCGGGCUUGAGGGCGGUAGGGGAGACUGGAAUUCCCGGUGUAACGGUGGAAUGUGUAGAUAGCGGGAAGAACACCAAUGGCGAAGGCAGGUCUCUGGGCCGUUACUGACGCUGAGGAGCGAAAGCGUGGGGAGCGAACAGGAUUAGAUACCCUGGUAGUC
rnacentral:rRNA from 1 species